rnacentral:rRNA from 1 species
CUUAGUUUAUUUAGUUUCGAUGUAUUUUCACCUUUAGUUAAAUCCUGAAGUUAUUAGAUUCCUAAAUUGCAUUUAAGGUUAGCUUUAAUAGUCUAUGUGUGAUUUGAAUGAAAUAAAUUAUUUUAAUUUUAAACAACCAUAAAUAUAACUAGUUAAAAUAAAUAAAAUCGGGGAGUGUCGAAAUUUUCUUAAAUUCUCUAAUUAAAGGAAACAGCAGCCAUAUAAUUUAAGUUUUUAUAUAUUACUUUUAAUUUAUUAGUAAUUAGAGACUAACCUAGUUUCACUGUAAAUUUUUAUUAAAUUGCCAUUAAAUUUAAAUUUUUACUAUAGAACUAAUAAAUUAAUAAUUUAAUUAAUGUAAAACUCGUUUUAAUAAUGACAAAGUA